rnacentral:tRNA from 1 species
GCCACAGUGGCGGAAUGGUAGACGCAGGAGACUUAAAAUCUCCCGGCUUUUUUGGCUGUACGGGUUCGAGUCCCCUCUGUGGUA